ACCUGUCAAGACAAGUGAAGGAAUCCUCUGGAAGCACCUGAAACAGCAGUUGUUAAUAUCAGCUCUAUACACUCCAGCUGUUCUGCAUCUCAUGUGCUCACUCUACCCAAUGAGGAUCAGCUCCUUCACUUAAAGUCUGAAACAGUCCCAGCUGCAGGCAAGCAAACAGAGGAUAAAAGGAGAGUGUGAAACCAACAGCCAGUAAAUGUUUAUGUAACUCAGGGAACCCCUUUACAAGAAAGCAGGCAUGGCAAUCUCCUGGAGGAAGCAAUGGCCCUAGCUGAAAUCUUGGGAAGACUUUAAAAGUGAUCUGAAGGUACCUGUGCAAACAGAUAUUUCUCAGAAGUGUUUGCAUUGCAAGUGACAUCUGGCUGACAGGAAGCUGGAGAAAUGGGAUAUGAAGUGAAUGCUGCAGUUACCACAGUAUCAUAUUUAUCAAAAGGCUUAAGGAGCCCAUGUCUUCGCCACCUUAGUCAUCUUCCCAGCCUUUGGAUGAAGCAUCUGAAUCCCCAACAUUACUUCUGGAGCCAUUUAAAAAACAGACUUCCUAAAAGCCACUGCUGGAUGAUGGUGACUGAUGCUGAAAGUUGUUCUCAAAUGGGAGAUAAUCAGAUCCGAAGAGUAUUUACAGCCCAGGUAAGUCACACAACUGAUUAUAUGCAGUUUUUGGACAGUAUUUAUUGAUGUGAAACUG